rnacentral:lncRNA from 1 species
UUUUUUUUUUUUUAAACUACAUUUCCUUUUCAGAACCUCAUUGAAGUUCGUUGAAAUGGAUGACAAUGAUAAGCCAACUGAGAACCCUAAACCUACUUCUGAUGCAAAUAUAACUCCUGAGAAUGAGUCAGAGAUAUCAAUGGAUUCCCUGGCACGAAAAGUCCAAGAAUCCCUUUCCCUUGCAAAGAGGCAUAAGUUUUGGGAAACGCAACCGGUGGGGCAAUUCAAAGAUUUUGGGGAUAGAAGCCUUCCUGAAGGCCCAAUUGAGGCUCCAACUCCCCUGUCUGAGGUCAAACAAGAGCCUUAUAAUCUUCCAAGUCAAUAUGAGUGGAUUACCUGCGAUAUGGACUCUGAAGAGAUGUGUAAUGAGGUGUAUAAUCUCUUAACUUCUAACUAUGUUGAGGAUGAUGAGAACAUGUUCAGGUUCAACUACUCAAAAGAGUUUCUUCAAUGGGCACUUCGCCCUCCAGGUUAUUUCAGGAGCUGGCACAUUGGAGUGAGAGCGAAGAGUUCAAAAAAGAUGGUCGCUUUUAUAACUGGGGUUCCUGCAAGGAUCCGGGUUCGUGAAACUAUUGUAAACAUGGCAGAAAUCAAUUUUCUUUGCGUCCAUAAGAAACUUAGGUCGAAAAGGCUUGCUCCUGUAAUGAUCAAAGAAGUAACAAGGAGGGUUCACUUGGAGAAUAGCUGGCAGGCCGCCUAUACUGCUGGUGUGGUUAUUCCUACGCCCAUAACAACUUGCCAAUAUUGGCAUAGAUCUUUGAACCCUAAGAAGCUUAUUGAUGUAGGAUUUUCUAGGCUUGGUGCAAGGAUGACAAUGAGCCGCACUAUAAGGUUGUACAAGUUGCCGGAUCAAACAGCCACACCUGGUUUCAGGAAGAUGGAGCCUCAUGAUGUUCCUGCAGUUACUCGUUUACUUCGAAAUUACUUGAGGCAAUUUGUUCUUUCGCCAGACUUUGAUGAAAAUGAUGUAGAGCACUGGCUUCUUCCAAAGGAGAAUGUUGUGGAUAGUUUCCUGGUUGAAAGCCCAGAGACUCACGAGAUCACUGACUUCUGCAGCUUUUACACUCUUCCCUCUUCUAUAUUAGGUAGCCAGAAUUACACUGCACUAAAGGCUGCUUAUUCUUAUUACAAUGUGUCUACAAAGACUCCGUUAACCCAGCUGAUGAACGAUGCUCUCAUUGUGGCUAAGCGGAAAGAUUUUGAUGUUUUCAAUGCUUUGGAUGUCAUGCAUAAUGAGACUUUCUUGAAGGAACUGAAAUUUGGCCCAGGUGACGGGAAACUGCAUUACUAUCUGUACAACUACCGAAUAAGACGUGUGCUGCGACCGUCAGAACUUGGGCUAGUGCUCUUGUAGUUUGAGCAUGAUGUUUGCUUCUAUCAUUCUCAAGCAUUCUUGUUACCGAGUGUCGGUUUUUCUAUUUCUUAGGCUGCACCAAUGUGCUUUUAAAUCCUGUUUUUGCAUGGAAAGGAAAAUUGAUUUGGAAGUAGGAGAGCUAAAUUUUGGACUCAGCGUCAUGGUGCCCAAGUUUUCUGGAUAUUUUUGUAUCUUGUGCCUGUUGGAACUGUGGAAAGACGCUGCAUUCUUGGCUUUUAAGUUACCAAUUUGACAUUGGAUUUCUGUUGCUCAAGCUUUUUUGUUGUUUGAGUCCAUUCAUGAGCAGCAAUUUUCUUGUGAUCAACUACUUUAAGAUCACGAAACGUAGAGUUUCUGCUUCUGUUUGUGCUGAGUUUUAGACCUUAAAAUUGGGCCAAUGAAGAACUGCUCAGAUAUGAUAAAAGAGCUACGGUAUAAGACAGCUCUUAGUUGCUGUUGAGGCAAGUAAUACGCCUAAUGAUUGUACUUUUUGAUAAGUUCUUCCAAGUUCGAACUCGGAAUGGCUCGUAACUCUGUCGAGCUUUACCUGCUUCACAGGCAUGGGCACUUUGGCAUUUCGAGAUGAUGACAAGUUUAUACAAUUUUCCCGGUCUUGAGGUGGUUCUGGGCAUGAAGCACCUGCUACCUAACCCCAAGAAAGAGAGGAAAAUGUAUUUAUUUCACAAUUAUUCUUAAAACAUUUUUUAAAGGUUAAUGCUCCUAGAGGAAUCGGUUCUAAACAAAUUUUAAAUAGAUAGUCCUAUAGUGUUGUGCGUCAAGUAAUUAAGGAGCUAACCUUUAAAAGCAAAUAGAAAAUAGAUGUAGGGGAGGUGGGGAUUAUAGGGACGUAAACGAAUCGAAUCUUUAAUAAGUAGUUAGGGCUUGAUUUGUUAAGAGCUCAAUUUAAAUUCGAUUUUUUACGAGCUCGAAUUCAAACUAGAACAAGAAUUAAAAUUUGACUAAAGUUUUGAAUCGAAUUCGAAUUUAUGCAUAUUUGGCUUGUUUAGAAUCGAUAAGGGUCAAAUAAUUUUUUAAAAUAUUUUAAAUAUAUAUAUUUAUGUUUUAUACAAAUAUAUAGAUUUAUUAUUUUGUUAUAUAAGGAUUAUACAUGUAUUAUUAAUAAAUUAAUAUAAAAAUAAAUUUUUUUGAGCUUUCGAAUUGAGUUCGAAGCUAUCGAAUACUAUAUUAAAUCGAAAUCGAGCAAAAAUUUUAAGUUCGUGUAUAAGAUUGAAGUUCGAAUUCAAAUUUGAAUCCAAAAUUUCAAAUGAAGACUCGCAAGUCAAAAUUCGAUUGUAUAUUUUAGUAGACGUGAUUCUUGAGUUCUAAACAGCAGCAAUAAUCGCUUCUAGAACCGUUGUCCCUAACACGGAAAAUAUUUGGAUAGAUUAUUAUUUGAAAUGAUUAUUGUAUCACUUUUUGUGAUGUGGUGUAUAUAAAAUAAAAAAUAAUUAAAAAUAUAAAAAAAAUAGAUUGAAAAAUAUGUUUAUAAUAUAGGUAAAAUAUUAAUUGAAAAAAUAAGGUAUCCAAACACACUCCGUGACUUCUCUCGUCUCCUAAAUACGAUGACCCGACUCCCAGGGGCGGAGGGAAGGGGGGGGGGAACCGCCCCCCUUCCAAUUGUUAAAAAAAAAAAUUCUAAGUAAAAAAAUUUUUAUUAUAUUGUUUUGCCCCCCCAAAUAUUGAUAAAAAAUUUCACUUUGCCCCCUCUCCAAUUGUCAUAAAAAAAUUUCUAAGUAAAAAAAUUUUUAUUAUAUUGUUUUGCCCCCCCAAAAUAUUGAUAAAAAAUUUCACUUUGCCCCCCUCUCAAGGACCCAAACAAUAAUGUUUGAAAGUUAUUUGGACUUGGUCCAAAUAACAGAGACUCGCCCCCCCUAAUUGCAAUUCCUAGCUCUGCCACUGCCGACUCCAAUAGUUCAACAUGUCCGUCUUUUGUUUUCUACUAGUUUAUUUGUGUCUCAUGCGAUGUAUGAGGGUGCCUAGUUUUUUGUGAAGUUGUUAGUUGUGUGUGUGGAGUUAAGAGCGGGUGUGUGUGAAUUUGAUGACGAAAGAGUUGUAGUACAGGAUACGUAGACACAUUAUUUUGUAGCAGUCUGUACAUCACAAAAAACUGGUCAUUACAAGAUAGAAAGCUUAUACAAAAAGCUGUAGACAAAAGCACUAUUUACAUUAACAAAAAUAGGUGAUUGCAUAGUAGAAAACUAAUGUCAACAGCUAUUGCAAAACUAUAGAUGACAAACAAACCUAUUUAACUAAAUUUACCCAUACUCGACUGUGAAUAGAUGGAUAUGGGUAUCUUAAAUUUUUGCAUAUGAGUAUGAAAUGAAUUACCCAAUAAUACCCAUUUAAUUUUAUUGGAUAACUUGUCAAAUCCAAUUAAAUCAUUAGAAUUGCCUUCUCCCAAGCCUCCUCUCUUCCUCCACCCCCUUUUUUUUUUUCUUCAGAUUUUUCAUUUUGUUAGGAUGUUAACUAUUUUUGUUUCAUUAUUAUUAUUAUUAUUAUUUGUUGAUUUUAUCUUUAUCAUUUUAUUUUCUCUUAGUUUGUUAAAUUGCUUAUAUUUUAGCAUUACCAAUUUAUAACAAGUUUUAGCCUAUUUUCUUACCUUUCCAAAAUGAAAAUUUAAAUUUACACAUGAAAAAAAUGCUAGGGUUUCAAAAUUUUUGGAUUAAAUUUUUAUGUUAACUUUUAUAGUACUUAGUUCAAAAUUUUAUAUUCUUAUUGUUUAAUUAUCAAAUAGUUUGUAAUUUUGCGGCAUAAAGUACGGAUGAAAAAAAUUGAUAAUCAGGCUUAUUGAACAUUAUAAGUAAAUAUUUAAAACUAAUAAUGAGUGCAAAGAGUAGUAUAAAUUGAUAACUUAGUUUGCAAAAAUAAAUUUAAAUGAAUUUACAAAAAGUUAAAAUAAAUGGGUAAGCCUCCAAUUGCUUCCAUGUAAUAAGGCAACAAAAGUACGUAUCACAAGCCCAACAAAAGUACGUAUCAAAAGUACGUAUCACAGGCAGGUGUGCUGUGCACCCGUCUAGUCCAAUGGUGAUUCAAUUCUCCCCGAAUUAUUUUUGGGCCUCCUUAGGUCCGCCCCUCCCUUUAACGUAGGAUAGAUUAGGUUUACGAUCUCCUAAAAAAAAAAACAAAACCCAACUCAAUCUAUACAAGGUUAGGGUGAAAUUCCAGAUUUAGCCACCUAGUCAUGGGCACCAUGACUGCUCAUAAGCCAACUCACCUUUUUUGUGCUAGUAUUGAUUUCCCAAAACCCUAAUUCAUAAGCACCAGCAGCUGACAUUCAGAAAUCAAACCCCUAAUAUUCCGAGGGAACAAAUGGGGUUGAAAUUAUUCGACAGCGACAGCUCCGGCGAGGACGAUGAGAAGCUAAACAGAAUCGAAAUCAACCAGGAGUUCGCCCGGCGUUAUGAGCAUAAUAAGAAGCGGGAGGAUUUGCAGCGACUCGAGGAGCUCAAGAAGAAAGGGGUCAUUGAUUCGGAGUCAGAUUCCGAAGAGUCUUCAUCUGAAGAAGAGGAGGAGGAGGAGAAUGCUAACCUGAGUAAGAAAAAAGAUUUAGAAUUUUUUGAUGCUUUAAUUCGAGUUAGAAAUAAAGACCCUAUUUUGAAAGAUAAAGAAGCUAAAUUAUUUCAAUCUGAAUUGGAUUCUGAAAAUGAGGAAGAUGAUGAUAAUGAUAAUGAUGGAAAUGGAAAUAGUGGAAGUGAAGAAAAGGGAAAUAAGUUGAAAAAAGAUGGUAAAAGGAAGGAGAAAAAGAAGCCAAUGUAUUUGAAAGAUGUGGCGUCGAAGCAGUUGAUUGAGGAGGGGCCGGAGUUUGAUGAUGAUGAUGAUGAGGAAAAGGAUAAUGUGGAUAAGAAGGUGGUCAAGAGCUAUGCGGAGGAGCAAGAGGAGCUGAGGAAGGCGUUUUUGCAGGCAGUGGAGGACGCAGAGGCUGAGCAGGGGGAUGAUGGAGAAGAGUUUUUGAUUGAGAAGAGGAAAAGGGAUGGUGAAGACGAGGAGAAUGAGGAGGAUGUUGGGUUUGGAGAGAAGUUGGACGAGUAUUUUGGUGGGGAUGAGAAGUUGGAUGAGGAUAUGAUGUUUUUGAAGGAUUAUUUUAGGAAUAGAAUGUGGGUUGGGAAUGGUGAUCAUAAGAAGGGGGUGGGUGAUGAGGAGGGUGUUUCAGAGGAUGAAGAGGAGAUUGAGAGGCAAGAGGACUAUGAGAGGGAGUAUAAUUUUAGGUUCGAGGAAAAUGCAGGGGAUAGGGUGAUGGGUCAUUCGAGAGUAGUGGAGGGGUCAGUGAGAAAAAAGACGAAUGCAAGGAAGGUGCAAAGAGAGAGGAAGGAGGAGAGGAUGGCACAGGCAGAGUUUGAGAGGAGAGAGGAGUUGAAGCACCUGAAGAAUGUGAAGAAGAAGGAGAUGAUGGAGAAGCUUAGGAAGUUAAGGGAGGCUGCUGGUAUUGGGGACGAUGGGGCUUGGUUGUUGGAUGAGGAUGACUUGGAGGAGGAAUUUAAUCCGGAUGAGUAUGAUAAAAAGAUGAAAGAAGCAUUUGAUGAUGGCUAUUAUAAAGCAGAUGAUGUUGACCCUGAGUUUGGAAGUGAUCAUGGUGAAGAUAAUAAUGAGUUUGAAAAGCCAGAUUUUGCUAAAGAAGAUGAGUUGCUUGGACUUCCCGAAGGUUGGGAUGGUAUAAGAAAUGCCUGCAAUGGCUUCUUAUCUACCAGGGAAAAAAUUUUACAGCUCAAGGCAGAAAGUGGAGACAAUCAUGAACAAAGUGAUGAAGAAGAUGUAAGGCCUGAAGAUGGAAAGCGGAAGAAAAAACGGAAGCGUCAUGCCUCUGAGGUGGAAAAGGCAUUGAGAGAUGAGUUUUUGGAGGAGUAUUAUAAGUUGGACUAUGAAGACACAAUAGGUGAUUUGAAGACUAAAUUCCAUUAUAGACAGGUUCCUCCCAAUAGAUAUGGACUUAAUCCGGAGGAAAUUCUUAUAAUGGAUAAUAAGGAGCUGAAUCAGUACGUUCCUAUUAAGAAGCUGGCUCCAUACCGUGAAAAGGAAUGGAAGGUUCCUCGAAUUAAGGCAUAUCAGCAGAGGCAGAGGAUCAAGGAAGUUAAAGCAAAUGUAUCAACUGUACCAAAAAAUCAUAAGUUGUUGAGUGACAGUAGAAACGUAAAUUCUGCGGUGAGUUCUGCUGAGAGUGAGAAACCAUGGCCUGCAGAAUCCAAUGGCGAUACAAGCAAACUGUCACGUCGUAGUAAGAGAAGGCAUCGUCAAGCUGAGCUGAAAUUGUCUCACUCAAGGCUUAUGGCAUAUGGGAAAAUCCCCUCAAAAACAAAGAGUAAAAGGAAGUCCUGCGUGCAGGAUGUAGCUUAGGCAGUUUUUAUUAAGGAGGUAAUGAGACUAUUGUUUAUUGAAUUAUUUAUUUUUCUUUUGACCUGUAUAUCGUGUUGCUUGCAGUCUACUUCUUGUAAUUCUUCAUUCAUUUCUUGACAUGAUAGAUUUAACCUGUUUGCUGUCAGUCUCUAUUUUUUGUCUUUUAAAGUAGUGAAUAUAAAAACGACAGUUAGGUCAAAUUUGCUUUUUGCUGCAAAUUUUCCUUUCUUUCUUGACUUGGAAAAGUGCCAUAGUUCCAAUGCUUCCAACUUCUACCUAAAAAUUUAGAAGAUGUAAAAUCCAGAUAGGAGUAUUUGUCUUUAUAAACUGGGACAAAGCAAGACAGGUUCAAAUUUGCUUUUCUGCUGCAAAUUUUCCUUUCCUUCAUGACAUGGAAAGGUGUCAUAGUUCCAACCCAAACUUUCACCCAAAUAUUUAGAAGAUGUUAACUCCAGAUAGGAGGAAAAGAUUGUACUUUUCCUUAUGAGCUGGAACUGUGUUGUGUGAUAGAAGCAAUAUAUGAAGUGGGAAAGAAAAUAUUACUGUGAUCAAUAGUACAAUUCAACGUUUCUCUACGCGUGUUUUUGUGAAUUUGCAGCUGUACCUCUCAUACUUUUCUAUCUCUUGAACUUUAUCAGUUAUAUGUAUAUCGUUGUAUCCUCGCCCUGUCAAAUUUCAAAUGGAUAGCUUAGCUUUUGGGCCUUUCACCUUUCUUUCAACCUUUCUGAUGCUUUAACCUGGUUUCCAUUUCCUUAAUGAUAAAAUAGUUAGUUGUACGUGAUUUCUUUUGAGGACUGAAACUUGUGAUGAGUUUCCAUUUCAGCUUGUUGUUCCUGUACUGUUUUACCAAAAUUUCACUCAAGAACCUUCUUAGACAUUGUAUACUAGAUGUGAUGUGUUUCCUUCUUAGACAUUGUAUACUAGAUGUGAUGUGUUUCAGACAAUUGUUUUACUAGUGUUAUGUUCGUCUUAGUAGAGAAGUGCAUAUCUCAAUAAACUUUUAUCAGGAUAUGUAUUGAAAAAGGAAACCCGCUGAUGUUUAAGCUGGUUUUGACAUGCCAAGAGAGAGGAAAUGUGGAUAAUUGCCCCAGAGAAUGGCUUAGAGAUGUGUUUUAGAAUUACCAUGUUGAAAAUUUUUUGUCCAGCUGCCGAAAAAAGGAAGAAAUUUACUCUGUGCAAUGAAAGGCCACCUAAACAAUAUUAUAUUUUGGUUCUUAAGUUUGCUUGUCCUAUGGAUGUUACAUAUAUUACAUAUACAUGCAGCGAGCAGCACAAGGUUAGAUUACACUAUGUUGUUAAGAUUCAGGAUGCCUUCUUUUCUGUUGAUUUAUUAACUCUGUUACGUACAAGUCUGUCCGAGAAUUUUUUAAAUGUUCUAACUAGUCAAAAUAGUACUGAACAGUUGGUUUUCAUUGAAUGAAAUUGAGCUUUAAUAUAUGCAGGCACUUGUUGUCUCCUAGAUGAAUUUUGUCCCAGGAUGGUAAGAAAUUGGCAACAUACGCUGAUUUUGCAGGCCUUGGAUUUGAGUUUUGGAUUGGUGUAGGCAUGGAACUGCUUCCGCCGAAACAAGGAUGUUAUGAGAAGACAGGCAAUGAGGUGUGACCCCGAGGAGAGUGAAAUGCUUGACUUCUUUUCUUCCCCUUCAUCAAUAAUGGUCAAUCUUUUGGUUAGAGCUGAAAACUGCUAAUUAAUCUUGAUCUGCGAGGCAAUCCAAUGAGCUAAUCGGUUUUAUUUUAUUUUUUAAAAAUUUAUUAGGGAGAUUGGCGGGAGUUUUGGCUAGUUGUUAAUUGUACCAUAAAUACUUUUCUCUUAUUACAUUAUCUGGUUUUGUGCUGUUUUCUACAUCGAGUCUGGUUUGCACGAUCAUAUUUUGUACUUUCAAAGACAAAUUCUUUUUAUAAUUGGAUUUGUUUUUUUAUAUUAAUGAAUAUAGGUCAACCAUGAGCCAAAAUGAGCCAAGAAUCUGCAGUUCGACACAUUCGUUUUACAAGAAGUGGGAAAAAAGAUUUUUAGCACAAAGAUAGCUCUUGAUUAAGUAGUAGGAGAUUAAAUUCUCAGUCACAACAGAAUUGUUGGAAGUUGUUUGCACUAACUUCGGUCCUGAACCAGAAGACGUCAAUGAACUGAGAAAGGACUAAAGCAAAGUUGGAUUAAGAGAAACUUGUCUACUCUCUCCUCGUGUCAUUGUGCUCUAGGAGAAUGAGAAGCUGUUACGAAGUAUUCAAAACUACCAAUUCACAUAUAACUAUGGAACAUAUGCAAACAAGGUUUCAUUAGUAUGAAGAUAGCAUAGCCGACUUGGCCUUUACAUGGAGUCAAUGUUAUAAAUCCUGAAAAUGUGAGCGAUUUCAACAGCUUGAGAAGAGGCAGUUGGCUGAUACGGACAGUCAACCCAAGUGGACAUAAGCAACUCCCUUGCGAACCGCAAAAGCUCCGCAACAGGAAUGAUCCCAAAUUCAUUUUUCCUUAUUUGACUACGUUUUCUUGAUACGCAUUUGUAACCUGUGCCAGCACCAAGAGAACUUGCGGAAAACAGAACCAGACCUUGAUGUCAUCUGAUUUCUGACAGACGAACCCUUUGAAAAAAAUCCAACAAUUGAUUCCUGCAAACGGUGAUGACCUGUCAAGUGCAUUUACGCAUCCCCCCCUGCAGUGGCUUUCCUAGGACUAACCGACUAAGCCAGUUCCCAAGUCAUUGCAAUAAAACAACAGCACCAUAGCAAAUGAUCUAAGCUUCCAUUUGCUGUUUAACAAGAAGCACAACACAAUUAAUCUUCGUAGAACUUAAAUCUAUCUUUAGUGUUUAGUCUUCUUCUUCGUCUUCAUUUUCAUAGCAUUUAGUCAUUUUUAAUUAGAGGCCGACAAUAAAAUAUAAAAUGCGUAGGAACAUACUUCUUUACCCAAACUAGUACCAGAUACCAAAGUAAAGUGGUACAAUGAUCACUAAAUUUAUCUGCCAGUAAAUUUGCAGAAUACACACUAUAUAGUCCAGAGAACGUGGACGCAAGAAAAGAGCAGAAGAUGAAAGUGUAGAAGACAGUUUGAAGCAGCCAAAUGAAGAUAUAUAAUGGACAUCCCAAGAUUAUAGAAACCAGUAAUCAAUGAAGAUCUGAAGAUGGAUUUCAGCUUAUUCACACGUUUGAGCUGUUCUAUCCAUACUAGUCACUUUGAAACUUUCAGUUUUUCCUGAUACAGCUUGAAAGAGUUCAGAAGCUUCCUCCUUAUGGCAGCAGCAAAAAUCUUCAAGGAACAAUUUUUCCAGAAGUUCCAGCAUCUUUGCUAAAAGAACCUCACUAAACACCUAGGGGUAAUUCUCUCCUUCAAGCUAAAAGAAAUAAUCUGCGGCUUUUUCACUGAAACUGAAGAAUCAAAUCACAUCUUUUGCACCAGAAGAUCCAUAACUGCUUUGAUCUUCAUUUCUGAUUUCAAGUGGAUAAGUCAUUAAAGCUGCCAGCCCUUCUUCCUCAGACCAACCCCAUCUCUUGUAGACCUCCAUCUUGUGUUUCCAGGUUCUUGUUGCCAGCGAUGCCAUCAAAUAAACUCCCUCAAUAAAUGUUCUCUUUUGAGGAUUAAAACCUAUUCUCUUAAUUCUCUCCACAAUUUUUUUUGAAUCUCUUGGGACAUAAUAUUCAAUCACACCACUAUCAUCCCAAUGUUUCGAGCCAGAAUAAUGUUCAAAUUUAUUCUAAAACCUCAGGGCAUUGCUUAAUUGCUAAUAGAAUAUUCAUCGGAAUGAACCAAAUUCUUAAGGAUGUUAUGAGCUGGUAGGAUACAUUGUUACAAACUACUAUGUGGUAGUGUCAGCUAUCUACAGGCCAACUUGAAAAUGUCAAAGCUUGAGAAUCCCAUAGAUGCAAACUUGGGUAAAAAGUAAUUGCAGGGUUGGUUAAGAGAAUUUCUCGGUAUGUCCUUACAAGGUUUGAGAUCUCAGCAUCUCUAAUUUCAUGAUUCUUUAAAAAUGCAAGUACUGCAUCCGCAUCUUUGAGAAGUCCAAAUUUGAGAUGCUUUGAGGUGAAAAGGACUCUUUCUGGAGAGAGCCCACAUGACUUUAUCAAAUAAGAAGCUACCAUGGAAGGGUUAUUUGGAGUAUUCUUUAAACAUGAUGAUGAAAAUGACCAGUAGAUUUCAAAAAAUUGCAGUAGUGAUUAAUCUUGCGAGCAGAGCAGUUUCUUGCAUAAUUCAAUGCCUUAUUGCACAAAAAACCAAACAUAGCUGACAAAAAGAUGUUGUAUUCACCAAAGAUAAAAUCCAAGAAAAAUUCUGACCUGAAUCUCCAUCCAUAAUAGAACAUUCGUCUGAGUUCUCAACAACCUUUGUUCAUAGAAGAACUAAAACCCUGCUUCUGUGACCCUUCUUGUUGGCAUAGCUGAUAAGAGUGUGGUUUGUUUUAUAACGAAUCUCUUACCUGGUGCCUUUAUAGCACUUACAGUGUUAGUAUCAGGGUACUAGUCUGUUCUGUUUGAUUAUUUACCCAAUUAUAGAUUCUGAAUCUAUGUGAUUUUGGAGAAUCAAUUUUGUGUGAUAUUCUUGUUUGCUCUUGAAUUUAGAAUUUAGAUUUUUAAUAGUUAAAAAAAAUUAAAAUAUAGGAUCUACCAAACAUCAGCUCUAGCUGAUAAUUAUUCCCUAUAUUUACUUCCUAUAAUGGUUUAGAAUGAUUUUGCGCAGCUAGCACAAAUAAAUAUAUAGUUCACGUAUUAUUUUGACAUUCUUGUUUACUCUUUCAAGUCAGUUUUCAUUGUUCAAUCAAUACCUCAUAAAGACUUAAAUCCUAAAAGCGUCUCAUACUGUCAUGCAGUAUAUUAGUCUUAAAUUAUAGCAAACAGAUCCAAAAACAGAAAGCAGACAAUUACUGCCAUCCUCUUUUAUCAACCACAGGUUCAGUAUAUGUAUUAUUAAGUGUUUUUGCAUCAGAAACAUGAAAAUUAGAACUUUACCAAUUAUGGUCACAAAGGACGGCGGAACAAGAAGAGAUGUACUCUAAAAAAGAUUUCAUUACAGCAUUCUUCGUGAGGAUAAGUUUGUGCAUUAACUAUGGGCUUGGGUUCCAUCUGCAUUUAACUGAUUUCUGCUGUACUGGUAUUUCAUUUUCAUUAUGCAAGAUUUUCCCACUCUUUUUACUUGUAUAUGCAUCAUAUCAUAAGCUACUCACAAGUAUUUUGGUAUGCUCUUCAUGCAAAAAUGUAGGUCCUUCUCAUGAUUCCAGAAAUAAGUGAUGCAGGACUAACCAAAUAUUGGGGCAAUAAUCAUCUUAACUUUCUCAACAGAGCAAAUGAUAUCCUUUUAGAAGCUGAAAAGAGAUAUUUCUGCUAAUAUAAAUAUUGAUGUUUGAUCAAUGAAUCAGAAAUUCCUAUUUUGCGUGAUCAUACAUAUAUAAGAAAACUCUUUUAAUAGAAGUAUCUGCUUGGCACAACAUACUGAACAUAGGAGAGACAGUACAGAUUCAAGACAGCAGCAAAAUAUCCAAGUCUUCAGUUUGCUUAUUUGGCAUUUUAGUACAAUCCCUUCUACACAAACCAGAAAGCAAAAGACUAAUAUAUGACGAUAAGAAAAAGAAGCCAAGAUAUCUUGUUCAUACACAUAAGGGGUGAAAUGAACUAUCAAGAAGAAACUAUAAUGGAUCAUAGCAGACAUCCAAAACAUCUCAAAAUUUGGAUUAGUUGCAAAAAAGCAAAUAGAUGAAAUUGACCACGAGUGACUAGAAACUGUUGAAAUAGGUCACACGUACAGUCAGUAUGACAAGUUUAAGAAUCAACCAAUGACUAAAGAUGAUUAAUCAUGUUACCUCUCUAGCCCAGUCUACUUGCACGCUUUAUGCUAGUCAAUUUGGAAUUUUCAGUUUUUCCUGAUAUAAGUUCAACAGCUCAGGAGCUCCCUCUUUGUGGGGUAUGAUAAACCUCUCAAGAAAUUGAUUUUCCGGGCAUUCCAGCAACAGUUGCAGGCUAAAGUUCUUGUCUACCAAACCUUUUGAGAGCAAAACUUGAACAACUGAACACCUGGGAAUAAGUGUCUUCCUCAAGCUGACAGAAAUGAGAUGUGGCCUAUUUGCAAAAAUUGAAGGAUUGAAUCCCAUUUCUCGUACCAAAAAGUCCAUUGCUCCUAAGAUCUUACUUUCUGAUGCCAACAUACAACGCGGAAACUUCCUGAAAGCUACCAGCACCUCUUCCUCAGUCCAACCACAUUUCUUAUAGACCUCAACCUUGCGUUUCCAAGUUGAAGAAGCUGUUCUCCCUAUCACAUUAACUCCCUGAACAAAGCUUUGUCUUUGAGGAUUAAAACCCAUUUUCUUAACUCUCUCUACAAUUUCCUUGAAUCUGGCAGGACUACUGCCUAAUACACGCGGUGCACAUUUUAAACAAAACAGAAUAUGAGAUUUGCCCACACCAAUGUCUCGCAGAAUCUGAAUAUUAGGUGCCACAGUAUUCUCUAUGUCAAGCUGUAGAACCUCUGGGUAUUGCUUAACAGCAACCACAACAUCUUCACUGGAAUGGAGCAGGUUUUUGAGGAAAUUAUAAACUGGGAUUAGACGGUUUCUCAAGCUUCUAUGAAGUAUUCUCGGCGAUACACAUACCAACUUGGGAAUGUCAAAGCUUGAGAACCCAACAGAUUGCAAAAAUUCCAACUUGGGCAAAAUGGUCUUGUCAGGGUUGGCUGAGAGAAUUUGUGGGCGGCCAUAAAUAAGAGUUGAGAUUUGAGCAUCAGUAAAAUGAUGCUUCUUGAAAAACGCAACUACUGAGUCUGCAUUUUCUGGGGCUUUGAAGUUAACAUAUUUUGAGGCCGAAAUGGCUCUUUCUGGAGACAGCCCACAUGAGUUAAUCAAGUAAGAUACUACUGUUGACCGCUUUUCUGAAGUUUUUACGAUGGAAGAUGAUGAAAAUGGCUGGUGGGUUUGAAGAAAAUGCAGUUCUUGUUUAUGGGCUCGUAUUAAACUCGAAAUGGCAUCAAUUGAGCAAUUUCUUGCAUAAGCCAAUGUUCUACAAUUGCAUACAAAAUUAAACAUAGUUGAGAAAAUACCAACAAGAUGAAAAUGAUUUCAGAAGGCUCACCUCAAGAAACAUAUAUAUAUAUCCGUCAAUUCCAAUCCAGCAGAGAAUCUUCGUUCAACAACUCAACUCAUCAACCCUAAGCCAACAAGUAAAAACCCUGCCGCUGCUUUGACGCGUUUUUUUUUUUUGCCGAAGCGAAAUAAACACACGCACCCAAACAAUGAACAGACACACAGUGGUAACACCGAACACACCAGCCCAAACGAGCAAUCUAAGGUAGGAUCCACGAGAAACAUCCAUCCAGCCAAUUGGUGACAGGAGGAUGCUUCCAUGGACACCGGCUCAAACGAGCAAUCUAAGGUGGGAUCCACGAGAAACAUUCAUCUAGCCAAUUGGUGACAGGAGGAUGCUCCCAUGGACCUUAAACCCAGAGUGAAAACCCCGCGAUCUUUCGAUGUGGGAUAGAAGACUGCUUUGACGUGUAACUUUGCCCAAAUCCUGCAAUGGGAUUGGGUGGUUUGGCGGCCCUGGAGGUGGUCGGUUCGUGACACAGAAUUCCAACCGAGCAAUCUAAGGUAGGAUCCACGAGAAACAUCCAUCCAGGCCAAUUGGUGACAGGAGGAUGCUUCCAUGGACACCGGCUCAAACGAGCAAUCUAAGGUGGGAUCCACGAGAAACAUUCAUCUAGCCAAUUGGUGACAGGAGGAUGCUCCCAUGGACCUUAAACCCAGAGUGAAAACCCCGCGAUCUUUCGAUGUGGGAUAGAAGACUGCUUUGACGUGUAACUUUGCCCAAAUCCUGCAAUGGGAUUGGGUGGUUUGGCGGCCCUGGAGGUGGUCGGUUCGUGACACAGAAUUCCAACCGGGUAGUGAACGUUGACUCGCAGUUCUAAUUCCGGUUUGGUUCGAACCACAACCCCAAAAAAAAAUAAAGAAAAAAAAAGUCAUGGGGUCCGGCUUUGCUCCUUUUGCAGUCAUUUACUUACAUAAUUCAUUGAGUACCUUUAAAUUUUUAAUAUUAGUUGCAAUAUUCUUUACAUAGAAAUUGCAGGGAACGCUUUGAUAGGAUUUAUAUCAUCAUUUUUUUCCCUUGUGGGUUAAUAAUAACAUGAAAACUUUAUUUUGCUUCUAAUUUUUUUUUCUUUAGUUUCUUCUUGUAUCUCAUCAGGGGGCGUGUAAUAUUUUACAUCAUCGUCCAAUCAUAAACACAUAGAUGUAAGCUAUAUGUAAGCUGUAGACUCUUAGUUAACGAUAAAAUGCAAAAAUCAAGAAACACCAGAGUAACAAUUUUUUUUUUUUGAAGGAGAGUAACAAGUUAUUCACAUCUUGACUACAGUAUUAGACUGACUCAGUUGGGUCUCCUCCAUAGAUUGGGAUAGUGUAAGAUAUUAUAGAUAAAGUGACGAUGGACAAAAAAAAAAAAUAGUAUUAGACUAGAUUCGAUAGAUAUUAGAUUAGAUUAGAUUUAUUUAUAUUAGAUUUUUCAUCUAGGGAAAAAAAUCAAUUCCUAUUGUUUGGAUUGAAGGGAAUGGAAAGAAAAUGAUAGCAACAAAAAAGAAAGGAAAGAGAGCAAAGGAAAGUAAUUUCCAUCCAUUCAAUUUGGAUUGAAUAUGGAAGGAAAAUAAAAGAAAUGUUGAAAUUUUGUUUGGAUUAAGGAGGAGAAGAUGAAGUGUCAGUUAACUAAAAAGGAUGGAAAAAAGUUUUAAUUUUUAAAAAAAUUAAAUUUAUUUAUUAGAUUUCGCACCCUUUAAUCCGUUCAAUUUCUUUCCUUUCUUUCUCCUUAGAUUGCCACAAUCCAAAUGGAGAACACGCAAACACUUGUUAGCUUGGCCUCAUUUUGGGAAAAUUUCCAAUGUCUCACACAUACUCGUGAGUUCCAAAUGCUAUGUCAACUACAUCCCAAACAAACCACUUUGAAGAAUAAGCUAAUGCAAGGUAUUUAUUUUAGGUUUUAUACAUCAUGGCAUACCAACGCUAGUAAUUGGCUAAUUGCUCUAAUUAUUGUCGAAAAAAAAGUCGGAACAAUGUUUUUCUGACAAUAUAGUGGUAUAAAACUAUGUCUACUGGGCUGGUAGACUAACUCAGCCCGGCAGGCAAAAGAAAUUUUUUUUUUAGAAAAAAAAGCUGCAGGUUGCCGGUUGACAAUAACUGAUAGCCUGCAGCUUAACUUUUUUUUUUUUUUUUUAAUUGUAGGUAAGCCCAGCAGCUAGUGGAAAUUUUCCAGGCUGUCUCCAAUCACUAAAAUAACAUUUGCUAUGGAUGUAAAGAGCAAUGAAAUCAUCACGGCAAGAAAUUAUGAAUAAUAAAUUAGCAUAUUGGUGAAUCAGGGUGUUAUAUUCUAAAAACUUAUGCUGCCGAGCUGACUAUGCCCGGUAGCCUUUUUGGUUAAAAUUUUAAGUUGAAACGUAAGAAAAAGGUCAAGAUAGAUUUGCCAAAUUAAUUAUUUUUAUUUUAUGUUAAACCCUAAAAAAAGAUUUUAAAUAAAAAAAACCUCAUUCAAUUUACAAGAAAAUGCAUUUCCCAAAUUUUUGAAAAAUAAUCGUUGAAAUUAUUAUGUAUAAGAUUUGGUUUUAUAUUUUUUAUAUAGAAAAUUGAUAUUUAUCUAAAUAAAAUAUACAAAUAAAUUAUUAUUUGGCAGUGGGUUGUUAUAAGAACAAAGGCAAAAAUAAAUAUGAUAAUGGGUAGUUGAGUAUAAAAAGUAAUUUUUAAUGUAAAUUAUAAUUUUAUAAAUAUAAAAUUAUUGUUCAAUAUAAAAAUGAAAAGGCAAAAAAUAGAAAUGAAGAAAAAUUUGAUAACGUGAAAUGGUGAAAUAUAUUUGUGCUGCAAUAAUUUCACCAAUCUCGAUUUCAAGGGGCAGCUGCCCUGAAUGAAAUAAUGCAAGUUUUACUUUGGCUGAUCUUGUCAUAUGAGGAUCAACUUAUUUGAUGUAUCUUUUUUGUGUAAAUUAUCAAAUUAUUUAUUUGUCACAUUUUCUGGUAGUAAAAGUAACAGAGUCUACCAUUUUGUGCCAAGAUGAUCUACUAACCAGACUCUUAAUUGGCUUGAACAAUCUAAUUCAAAGAUUUCAAUAUGUGUUUGAAUAAAACAAAUUAUUGAUAAAUUUUGUGUCUAAUCUAUAAUUUGCAUGUGCAUUUAUUGUACAUAAAUUCUUAAAAGAAAAGAAAAGAAAAGAAAAGAAAAGAAAAGGAAAGGAAAGGAGCAAGUGAACCCCAUUGACCGAAAAGAGAUUCCCCUGCUGCUUUUUUUCAGCUAAUGGAACAGGUGAACCCCAACUAUGGCCAGGAAAAGUUUUUAAUUAAAAAAAAAUUUAAGCUGGCUACCGGGCAACCUGCAAGUUUUUUUUUUUUUUUUUUUAAAGUUAAGCUGCAGGCUAUCAGCCGUCAGUAGGCCGCCGAUGGGUAGGGUUCGGGCUGAAAUUUAUCAUUCUGGAUCUAAAUCCGUCAUACUACGCCUAUGCCGGAUCCGACCCGUCUACUCGACGGGUCUUCUACUCUUUUUUCCGGAACCGAGAACCGAAUCCGAUGGGUCUUGGAUCCAGAUUGGGUCUACCCAAAAAAAAGAAACCUGUCAUAGAAUCAGGAUGUUGGGGUUGAUUUCUAGAUGAUGCCGCUGCAUUUGAGAAGUAGUAGUGCAGGUGCCAGAGAAAACAUUACCCGUACUUACUAGCAACAAAAAGGAUUUGGAGUUUUCACUUUUUUCGGACAAGUCAAAAUUUAAGCGAUGGGAUUAGUAGCCAGUACAAAUAAGUAAAGCUUAUUUUUUUCCCCCAAAACAUGAUGAAUUUUAAAUAUACAAUAACACCAUGAAAACACCAAAAAUACCACACACGCAUUCCCCAUCCACUAGGCUUUCACCAUGAUUUUCAAAAAUACUAGAAACAACCACCAUCUUUGACAAAGUCAAAAUACUAGAAUGGAGGCUUUCACCACGAUUUUCAGAUACUUUAGGAAGAGAGAGCUGGGCCGCUGGAAGCGCUGGAAUAUGCUUCUUUGGAGCUGCAACCGUGACAGAUAGAGAGGGUGUCCUCGGCAGCCUCGCUAGUCUCUACUAUGGCUUCGACAAUCAAUGGAAAUGGUGGACAAUCUGGUGGAACUUGGAAGCUCAAAAAUGGCUUACUUGCACAAGAAAGAGAGAGAGUGAUGGAUUUUGUCUUGGAAGCUUGCCCCUUUCACAGCAGAUUGGAGAGAGGAAUUUCAUUUCAUGGGAGGCUGGUAAAGCAUUGGAGGCAGAGCAAAAGAGAAGACAGAGUGAGAGGCAUGUGUGGGUGCGGCUGGAAUUGGGGUAUUAGAUAUUAGGCUUUGGAAAAUUUGGAAAUAGAAGAAGUAUUAUUGUUUUGAUAUUGCAUAUAUUUUUAAUUAUUAAUAUAUUUAAACGGGUCCGGAUCGAAUACGGGUCCGAAU